AAGUCGUAACAAGGUUUCCGUAGGUGAACCUGCGGAAGGAUCAUUACCUUUCAAUGCAGCAGAAUUGGGAUGGUUGAGUAUCUCGCCUCUCCGUUCUGCCUGUAUUCUACCCUUGUUUGUCAUAUACUAUUAUUUCCUCGGCAGGCUUGCCUGCCGAGUGGAACCAUUUAUAACCUUUUUAAUUUUCAAUCAGCGUCUGAAAAAAAUUAAUAAUUACAACUUUCAACAACGGAUCUCUUGGUUCUG
rnacentral:misc_RNA from 1 species